AGAAUAAGUUGAAAAGUUUGGAAAGAUAUGUGAAUUUUCGUGUCAAGUUUCGGGACGAAACUUCUUUUAAGAGGGGUAGAUUGUAAUCCCCCGUAAUUUUAUAUAUUUUGUUUAUAUAUUUUAACGUAUAUUAAUACAUUUAAAUAUAAUUUACGGAUUUCAGAAAUGAAUGUGUAAUUAAAAUAUAAUUAUUUUAUUUCAUUGUGAAUAAUUUUAAUGAUUUAUGAAAUCAAAAUGUAUUUUUGAAUUUUACGUUAAAACGAAUUCGAAUUUCGAAAUCACGUUCGAUUGAAAUUAGCAAGCAAUCCUAACCAUUUCGGAUUCAAUAACCUAAACCCUACUCCUAGCCCAAUUGGGUAAAGCCCAAACCAACAAAUACUCCCUCCCCUUUUCUAAUGCACGUGAACCCAAAGAAACAAAAAAAAAAGAGAAAACCUCCUCUUGCUCCUUCACUGUUCACGUAUCAAGCACCAAACCCUCAACACCCUCCUCCUUGCUGCCGCUGCUCACGCCGCCGGACCCACCAGCACGUCACCGGCAUCCCGUCGCCACUGGUAACGCUCACCUCCUCUCUUGUCGCUCUCUUUCUCAUUAUUUCUCUUUCUCUUGUUCGUUUUCUUGAUCUCCUCCUCAACCGGUUCUUGUUCUCGCACAGCACCACCACCACGCUGAGCGCUCGUGGUUCUGCAAUAACCGCCGUCCUCGUCGUCCACCCUUGCACGCAACACCACCUCGCCGCACCGCCGCGUGCCGCCCAGCCUUCCUCGCCGCACCGCCGCGUGCCGCCCAGCCUUCCUCGUCGCCGGCAGUUCUCCCCCUUCCCUUAUUCGGCGGAGAAUUCUCUUUAGGCGACUUUUGAAAGUGUUAAAGUGGCCUAUCAGUUUGUUUACACAAGGUACGUACAUACCUGUGUGCUUGGAAUGUGUGCUAAUUGUUGAAACCAUGUGUAUUAUUGAUGAACCUGGUUAUGUUAAUGUUGUUGAUGAACUUAGUCGGGUUGAAACUGCAUGUUUGAUACUGUUGGAUGAACAUAUUAAACCUUUAUUGCAUUUUGAGGAUUAUAACAUGUUAGUAUGGAAGAUUGAUGCAAACAUGUUUGAUUGGGAACACUAGAUUGUUUAGUAUAUAA